rnacentral:lncRNA from 1 species
CGCCGGAGAGACUCAGACCUUCUCACCGACGUUUCUCCCUCCCCGUCCGGUGCAUGGGCAGUCGAAGACCACAGGCAUGACGGCGACGACAAGAGGAAGAGGUCGGUGGUCUUGAGUCGUCGAUCGGUGGCCGGACGGCGUCCCUCCGGUCCGGUUUCUCUCUCGGGCCGUGCUGCUCCUCUGGUUAGAGCACCGAGCUCUAUCUCCC